GCAAAAUUAAACCAAUCUUAAAACAAAAAUUCUAAAAUGAAAAAACUAUUAAUACUGUAUUUUUUUUAAUGAAUUAUUCUUCAAAUAUUAUAGUUUUAAUUCAGGCCACUCUUUGCUGGGGAAGAUUCAAAGAUUUCAACAUGCUACUUUGAAAGUUCUUCACAUUCUUGCAGAAAUUCCUCUGAGAUUUCAAGAAGGAUUUGACCAUCUACUUCCUCUUCAUGAAGUUUUUCAAUUAUAGGGGGACUCUCCUCAACCACCACCAGUAUGCAGCAUCUACCUGGAUGAUUCAACGGCAGCCAUAGAGCACCAGUACACUUACCACACACCAGAUAUUGGUGGAGAUGAGAAAGUAGACUGAUACAGCCAAUUAAUUAAAGGGGAUUAUUAGGAAGCCAUGAUUGACAAUGGCCAAUGGGGGAAUCUGGCCAGGACACCAGGGUUACACUCCUCUUUACGAGAAGUGUCCUGGGAUUUUUAAUGACCACAGAGAGUCAGGACCUUGGUUUAACAUCUCAUCCAAAAGACUGUCUUUUUACAGUAUAGUGUCCCCAUCACUAUACUGAAGCAUUAGGACCCACACAGUCCCAGCUGGCCUCACUAACACCUCUUUCAGCAGACUCAAGAUGGCGCCGAAUAUGGCUGCUGCAUUGUGAGAUCCGACACAACACUGCAGUUUAUUGUUUGUUUUGUUUACAUUUUUUGUUUUUUUUGUAUUGGAUGUUGUCUGCCUUAUUGUAUACGACAGACAAACACUUUUGGACACUGGUUCAGCAAUUACACACCGUAAAAUCACUUGCCUAAAUGACUGCCGUCCUGUUGCUCUGACCCCCAUCAUCAGCAAAUGCUUUGAGAGGUUAAUCAAAGAUCACAUCUGCUCUGUGCUGCCCACCUCUCUGAACCCAUUGCAGUUUGCCUACCACAACAACCGCUCCACUGAUGUUGCCAUUGCAUCUACAAUACACACU